rnacentral:rRNA from 1 species
UACGAAGGGGGCUAGCGUUGCUCGGAAUACUGGGCGUAAAGCGUGCGCAGGCGGUUAUGUAAGACAGUUGUGAAAUCCCCGGGCUCAACCUGGGAACUGCAUCUGUGACUGCAUAGCUAGAGUACGGUAGAGGGGGAUGGAAUUCCGCGUGUAGCAGUGAAAUGCGUAGAUAUGCGGAGGAACACCGAUGGCGAAGGCAAUCCCCUGGACCUGUACUGACGCUCAUGCACGAAAGCGUGGGGAGCAAACAGG